CCUACGGGAGGCAGCAGUAGGGAAUCUUCCACAAUGGGCGAAAGCCUGAUGGAGCAACGCCGCGUGAGUGAAGAAGGUUUUCGGAUCGUAAAACUCUGUUGUAAGGGAAGAACAAGUGCAGUAGUAACUGGCUGCACCUUGACGGUACCUUAUUAGAAAGCCACGGCUAACUACGUGCCAGCAGCCGCGGUAAUACGUAGGUGGCAAGCGUUGUCCGGAAUUAUUGGGCGUAAAGCGCGCGCAGGCGGUUUCUUAAGUCUGAUGUGAAAGCCCUCGGCUUAACCGAGGAGGGUCAUUGGAAACUGGGAGACUUGAGUGCAGAAGAGGAAAGUGGAAUUCCAAGUGUAGCGGUGAAAUGCGUAGAGAUUUGGAGGAACACCAGUGGCGAAGGCGACUUUCUGGUCUGUAACUGACGCUGAGGCGCGAAAGCGUGGGGAGCAAACAGGAUUAGAUACCCUGGUAGUCCACGCCGUAAACGAUGAGUGCUAAGUGUUAGGGGGUUUCCGCCCCUUAGUGCUGCAGCUAACGCAUUAAGCACUCCGCCUGGGGAGUACGGUCGCAAGACUGAAACUCAAAGGAAUUGACGAGCAGGGCCCAUGCGUACAAGCGGUGCGAGACUAUAGUGGUUUAAUUCGAAGCAACGCGAAGAACCUUAC
rnacentral:rRNA from 1 species